CAGAUGCCAAUGUGUGGUGAUUUCUCAAGGAAAGUACCUCUACCCUUUAAUUUCUUUGGGAAACAACUUGCUGGCCUGUUUUCUGGUGGUGACAAUAAUGAUACACUAGAAGUAUUUAUUUCUACAAUCUGAACACUAACUGUACGGAUAGAAUGUCCACCUCCUGCUUCCUUUCUUUCUAUCUUAAAGAUAGUUUUAUGUUGGGUUCCUUAGCAAUAAAUAUAUGAUCAGGAUGGAAACUUCAUCCACCGCAUGUGUAUUUCAGUGCUGAACUCACCAAUGGACAUUUGAUGACAUGAUCCAAAAAUUACAUAAAUUACUGAAGAACAGAAAGCUGCAUAAGCGAUGUUGAGAGGAGGAAUCAGUUGCCUUGCCAGCAAACUAAGUGUCAGGCCUGAAAAACAAGAUAAUUUAAGAAAAAGCAGCUUGGCUUUAAAAGUCACCUUAAAUAAAAGCUGUAAAGAAUAUUUAAAAUAAAAAUCAUCCAUGUAUAUAGCUGACUGAGUGUGGUAACAGUAUUUCUGGACAUAUAGUCCUUCAUUAGUACUUUUUAUUAUCUGCUUUGAUUCCUAGCUUCUCUUCCUAUUUUGCCAUAUGCUUUUUACACUUCAAUCCAAUAUCAUAGGCUGAAACAUAGGUCUUAAUACUAAACUUGUGAAGCAAAUACCACAGCAAUAAGACCCCUAAUUCCAACAGCUCAAAAGCAGCCCCAUCCUUAUUCCUAGCCAAGCACAAGCAGGCCCUGGGAAUUCUCCAGGGCUGAAGAUAAAACUGGAGAGCAAGGCAAGAAUCACACUUCACUGACUUGAAGUUGGUAUGUGUUGGUUCUCUUCCAUAGGCCAGUCACUCCAGUCUCUUCCUUCAGCUCCUUCUCUAAUACUUUCUUUUCUAAGAAGCACCAUGAGAAUUUGGAAAUUUUGAAGCAAAUGGACUAACAGGCAUAGUGUCAUCCUUUUGAUGCUUCAAGCCCCUAUUUCCUUCCCUAAGAGUCUGUCCUCAAUUUACAUCAUACCAAUAUACUCAUCUAAAUUCAAUGAUGAAUUUAGUGAGGUGGUUUAUUGUCUUAGAUAAGCAAGGCUCCUUUUUAUAAGACAUUUCAAACAUAUACAAAAGUAGAGUUUAAUGAAUUCCAUACACCCAUCAUCCACUUCAAUGGUCAACCCAUAACCAAUCUAUGCUCCUACUCCUCUCUCACCCUAUAUUACUUUGAGGCAAAUCCAAGGCAUUUGAUGAUUUAAUUUGUAGAUAUUUUGGUAUGUGUCUCUAAAUGAUAAUACUCUUGUAAUUUUAGUACAAUAUCAUCGUUAUCCACUCAGUGUUCAAAUUUCCCUGAUUAUCUUACAAAUGAUUGUUGUGGUAGAGGGUCUGUAAGAUGAUGUACAAUGGUCAAUUGGUAUUCUUGCCCUUGCAUAAUUUCCUCCCCAUUAAGUGUGGAAUAGACUUACUAAUUUGUUUCUAAGGAAUAGACUAUAACAAAAAUGACAGGAUGUCACUUCUGAGGUUAGGUUGCAAAAAGACUUUUGGUUUCCAUCUUGGUUGCUCUCUCAUUCACUACCUACCAGAGGUAGCUUCAAAGGUUUGUAAUCUAUGCAGUCAAGACAGAGUCCUAGGCUUAGAAGGACUUUGCACUUGGUUUAAUGCUUUGCUGUCACUGUCUUGAAAUUCUGAAUAAUUUUUGAACUAAGGUCCCUGUGUUUUUAUUUUGUAUUGGGCCCAACACAUAUAGUUGGUCCUGCCAGCGGCCAUGCUGUGAAUAUGGAGAAGCCAGAAUGGGGAGGAACUCAGGCCUGCCAACAGCCAUAUGAGUGAGCCUGGAAGCAGAUCCUCCAGCCUCAGUAGAACUUUGAGAUAACUGCAGUCUCACAAGAGACCUUGAACCAGAGCUUGCCCAUCACAAGCUUCAACCCUGCCUGCUGGGCCUCAGAAAAAUAGAGAAAUGGAGGUGUUUAAAGACUAACUACUCACAAGUAAUUGUUUACCCUGGGCAUGUAGACAAGGUCUGAUACAUUGUCUUUGGAUGAACAGGCUUCAUAUCUUCCUUACCUUGGGGAACUUGCACAAGGCCAACACUUAUACCAGCAAGUAAGUCUCCAAGAAGCCAAUCUUUUAAUCGAUACAUACACAUCCAUUCUAGGAAGGGAAAGAUUGUAAGCAUGCAUCGUAGGAACCUGUGCCAUGAGCAGCUGUGUGAGAGAAGAGCAAAGACUUGGUUAGUUUCUCCAAAGAAAAUGCCUGCAUAGCCAAUAAAAGGCAUUUGGCCCACAUAGCCAAGAAAAAGCAGAGUCUUGUCAGCACUACUGACAGUUUGACAUAUUGGACCAGAUAAUUCUUUGUUGUUGGGCUGUCCUGUGCAUUGCAGGAUGUUUAGCAGCAUCCCUCAUCUCUACACAUUUGAUAUCAGUAGAACUCCCUCCUUCAGCUGUGACAGCUAACAACAACAAUGUCUCCAGACAUCGCCACAUGUUCCCUGGGGGACUAAAUCACCUUAGCUUCAGAACCAAGUGCUAUGUAUAUGUCAAGAACUAAGCCAUACACGUCCAGCAUGUAAUCAGUUCUGUGUUUUCAUAGGAUGUUUGGGAAGAAUUAAACCUACCAAUUUUCCAGGAGAAAAAUGGACUGCUGUUGUUUUCUCUUGACAAGGACAGUGUUUUGAGGUGUGACAUUGAUAGGUGGAAGGGCAGUUAACACAUUCAUGUCAUUCCCAAUUAGGAGAGUUCCCAAGUGCGAGGCAGGUACACAAAGUGUGUUCUUUCUAAUUAUGACCCUCUGUGGAGGAGAGGAGAGCAUGGCACUAAAAUUUUUACCAAACAUUUACUCUGUCUGGCCUUGACUUGUGACAUGUAGAAAUUAGUAGAAAAUACAGAAUAUGAAGUCCUGUGCUUAAGGACUUAGUUAUGUAAAGAAACAACUUUAUAAAAUAAGACUUUAUUAUCCUUUAGUCCAGUAGAUCUCAACUAGAUGCAGUUUUGUUCCCCUGUGUACAUGUGGCA